CUGCCCCUUUGUAUACAAAGAGUCAGCAGAUACAGACAGCGGAGGCGAUGGCAAUAGUUAUCAACAGCCAGUCAGUUACAGAUGCAUUGCAACAGAAACGUUGUUAUCUACGUCUCUGAUUGCGAACACAGAAUUAAACAAAAUUGGUCAUAAUCUUACAAACAAGAGAUCGGCAGAGCAGGAAGAAGCCAUGUUGAUGCCCUGGCCAUUCUCUUCUUUAACAAAUCAGUCAUUGCAUCUGCACAUAUGACCACCAGAGAAAUGAAGGACUAUUGUGGAAACUCAACUAUCUGCCGAAGAACUUUAGUUAACCAGUAUUUUGGUUUUGAAACUAAGGAAGUCUAACAGUGUUCAAUUUGUUGUGAUUUGUGUAAUAAUGAACUGGGGAUAGAAUAUGAUUUUAGUAAACUGUCACCUAACUAAAAGCAUACAUAUUAUUAUUACAAGAUUCCUUGAUUAAUUGAAUUUUCACAUCUUUUUAGGAAAGUCUAUCCUCGAAUAUUUUAAAUAUUUUAAAUAUAUUUGAUUGGAUUUAUUAAUUUACAUUUAUGUUUGAUGGAAAUGUAUAUUCUAUGUUGAAUUAAUGCAUAUGUUAGUGUGAGUCUGUGUGUAUGUUUGUGUGUUUCUGAGGAUAGUGCGUAUGGGUGAAAAUGUGUGAGAAUGGAACGGGAGUUGCGUGAUUUAUGUUUAUAAAUUAACAUUUGUUUGUAACGAUAUAUCAUGUAGUAUAAGUUACCUAAUUAAGUUCUUUUCUGUUCUUUUCUUAAUUGUGCUGCUAUGCUUAUUUUGCUUGAAAAAUGAUCAAAUCUACCUUAAAAAGAACUUACUUAUAAAUAAUUGACUUUUGACAUAUUUAAAGAAAGUGUCAAUAAAAAAAGAUUGGGUGGGGAUACAAAAAAGAGGGUCAAUCUGGUGACCAGAAACAAGAUUUUGUUUGGCCUUUGGGAAACAGUUUAGUAAUAAAAAAGUCAUUGUCUAUAACAAUGUUUUUAAAAUUAGAACAUUCUAUGUAAUUUGAAUAAAGAGUUCAGAACUA